UUGAUUUAACACCGGUGAGCCGGUGAGCCUCCACAUGCGGUGCUCCUCCUUCUCGGAGGACACGGUGCUCCUUCUACUGCGUCAACCACAUGUUGCUGCCGCCGUUGCAAUCCAUCUCAACCCUCUUGGAAGGAGAAUCUCCUCCAGAAGCAGCAGUGCCUCCUCCCUCUCACUUCAACCAGAUUUUGAUUAGGUAUGUAUAAAGAAGCCAUGGAAAAUUCAGUUGAGAUUGUAGUUGAAAAGUUGCUUAACAUUACAAAGGAUAUUGUUCCCAAGGCAAACAGCUUGGCAGCAACCAGAAAGCAAAGGAAGUUGGCUACGCUCAGUAUCGCCAUGAAUGCAUAAUAAUAAUCUAAGUGGGAGACGUUUAGAUUAUCCAAAACCCAACCCUUGUGACCGUGUUUCUUGGUUAGAUCAGCCACAGUUGAGAGCAGAAAGCUACUGAAAAAACAUCCUAAAGCUGUACUGGUUGUGGAAUAUGAUAUUCCAAGGCUUUUCAUGCCUUCUGGUGCUUGAUCAUAGAAGAAGUCCAACAUGGCAAUAUCGACGAAGUUAUUAGCAACCCCUGUCAAGGCAAACUGAGGGAGGAGGAUAAAAAUCGUAAGAGGAAUCUUAUCAUGCUGGCCUAAAAGGUUGUAUUCUCUGGCAACACUGAGUCUCUUCCUCUCACUCAACCAUGCAGUGACCAUUGUAAUUAUGUACAUCACAAGACCAGCUCCUAGUCUCUGAAGCAUUGCGAUCCCUCUGGGGUUCUUUGUGUACUGACGCAUCGCCGGAACAAAAGCACAGUCAUAGAUUGGGAUACUUAUCAACGUGAAAACAGUCAUAACUGCUGAAAGACCUGCCGGAGGGAUUUCAAAAUGGGGUCCCAUUCUCCUGUCUAGCGUGGUGCCUUGGGUAAUGAAUAGUGUGCUUGUUUGAAUUGCCAAGCUGCAUGGAAUAAUUGUAGUGAUCAAAAUAGGAAUCAUUUUUGUCAUUUGCUUGGUUUCCUCUACUUGGGUCACUGUACAAAGCAUCCACGGAGAAGUUUUUCCAGUCUUUAUAGCCGCUCUAUCUAGGAAUCUUCAAGUAGAGAGAAUGUCUGAGAAGGGUGACAUUGAGAAACUAAUAUAUUGGAGGAUUUAAAGGGGUAAGAAGUGAUUAUACUUAACCUGAAUGAUGAUGUGUGAUCAAUUCUGUUUCUCCUGCUAGUUACAUACUCUUCCAUACUCAGCUCAUGUAGCUGUUUUGGAUUAUCAGGGACAACUGCUUUCCACUUUAUCCCAGCAGCAACAAAAACCUGAAGCAUUGUUGUUAUAGGGCUUCCUGAGGGCAAUUUGUGCCUAUAAAAUGGAGUUCCUACCAGAAACAACAAUACUGAAAAAGCGAGCCCAAUUGUUGGAAGGCCAUAUCCAACGCCCCAACCAACAUUGUCUUGGAUAUAAACCAAGAAAGUAGCGGCGAAAAGGACACCGAUAAGGAUACUAAAAACCCACCAAUUAAAGAAGGAAAACUUAUGGGUUCUCUCUUUAGGCUCGAACUCGUCAAAUUGGUCUGCCCCCAUGGUUGAAAUGUUGGGCUUUGUUCCCCCAGUGCCUACUGCAAUUAUGUACAAGGCAAGGAAGAAAACGCCUUUUGCCAAUGGCGAUGCCUGUGGGCAAUCUUGGUUUUCCACACCUUGAGCACAUGCCGGCGGCCUCAGUGCUGGUAGUGAAACUGCUAGAGUCAGCAAACACAUUCCCUAUGGCCAAAGACAACAAGGGCAUGGCCCGUUUAUAGUUACAAAAGGGAAUAUUUAUUUUAAGCACCGGACAUCAGGCCCAUUCAAUAAGUGAAAAUGUCUUGGUGACCUAGCAUGGAAUAUCAAGGCAAUGUUGCUUGUAAGUUGAUUUUUUUUAGUUGUUACUUUUUGAAUUUACCGGAUCCUUAACUUUGGAGAUGAGAUGAGAUGCCUCCUACCUAAGUAAAUGUUAAAACUUAUUUAAUAUUUUUGUCCCGCUUCAAGAAGUGUGAGAAUUGACUCUAUGUUCUUGGUGGUUUGGCUUUUAGUAAUUGAAUUAUACAUAAAGG